AUUUUAAGAAAUAUUUCAGACAGAUAAAAUGAUUCAAAACUCUUCAAGACAAGGUUCUCAGGUCCGCAAACAAAACUCUAGAUCCAGAUCAGGAUCUUCUGUUAAAAAGGCUAUAAGAUCCAAGUCCAGAAGUAGGUCGUCUGAUAGAGGAAGCAGAAGAAGUUCACCAAAAAGAUCAAUCAGCCGUAAAAGAUCAAACAGCCGUAAAAGAUCAAACAGCCGUAAAAGAUCAAACAGCCGUAAAAGAUCAAACAGUCGUAAAAGAUCAAAUAGUCGAAGAUCUAUCAGUAGGAGAAGAUCCACGAGUAGAAGCAGAUCUAGAAGCAGGGAUAGAUACAGGAGCAGGAGCAAAAAAAGAUCCAGGUCUUAUAGCAGAAGAAGAUCUCGAAGUUCCCGAAGACGAAGGUCUUACAGUAGAAGAUCCUCAUCAAGAUCAAGAUCAAGAUCAAGAUCACGAUCGAGAAGAAACCUAUCUCCAGAUCCAGAUGGUUACAGGCUUCACAUUGCAGAUUUAGAUGAGCAUGCACGAAAGAAGGACCUGGAGCGCGUUUUCAUGAAGUAUGGACCAUUGAAAGAGAUCUGGUUGGCCAGCUAUGCUCCAUUCUAUGCUUUUGUUGUUUACAGAAACCGGUUGGAUGCUCAGGAUGCAUGUGAGGAGGCUGAGGGUGCUGAUGUAGCGGGGAAACGGAUUCGUGUCACAUACGCUCGUCCUAGACACGUCGGGCCUAGGCAUAGAUAUUCAUCAGAUAGACAUAGAGACAGCGGAUACAGAAGAUAGAUCCCACAAGUGUUAAGACGGAUGAUAAUUCGAAGGGUUCCAAACUUGAUGAUUUUUGAUUGAUAGGACAGUUGGUUUGAGAAACCUCUUCAAUUUUGGAUUGGUUUAUUUGGGUUGGACAUCUGGAUUGGAUUGGUUUAAUGGUUUGGAUAUCUGGAUUGGAACAUGGGAGGAUUGGAAGAAUAGUGUCAAAAAAAUAUGACAUAAUGGCUCAGUUGUUAAAAUGAAUUAUUAAACUGAAUUUUAAGUUAA
rnacentral:misc_RNA from 1 species